rnacentral:lncRNA from 1 species
GGUGAGUAUCAGUGCAAAGGGAGAUGGUCUGAAUUUAUAGCAAGUGACACUGUGCCUGCCUGAACUAUGGAAAAACAAAACCUAAGCGAAAUUUCCUAGCUCUUUGAAAGUUUGAGCAAGGACUAAGUUACAAAACCCCAAAUCUGACCCAUAUACUUUUAGUCUCAUCUGAUGCAGAAUGCGUGUCACCCACAAAUCUGCAGUGUUGUUAUUGUUGCUUUGCAGUGCUGCCGACCGUGCUGCAGGUGGCGAUGCUGCACCAGGACUGUGCCGAGCUCCAGCUCCAGAAAAUCGAGAAUCUUACAGCAAAGUCUUUUGGCCUCUCAUACAGGAGAUAGGAGCGCAUCCAGCAUGGUACCGGUUAAUAUCGUCUUAGAUGACGGUUUGGGAAUACCAAUGGGAGAAAUUGGACAAAUGUGUGUUGCCGAGAGCAGUCAGCUGGAGAUAUUUGGACACUUGAAAGAUCCUCAGAAACUGCUUUUGGAGGACCUUGGGCCUGUGCUGAAAGGGGUGAGCAUCUCUGGGAGAGCUUUCCUCUUGCUGGCACAAAUCGCUGCAUCCUGAGCUGCCAUGCACUGCUGGCUCUGCUGGGCCGCCCCUGCUCUCCACACCCCCCUCUGCUGCUUUGGCUGCUGCUGCUGUGCAGUAGCUGAGCUGAGCCCUAAAA